GACGAACGCUGGCGGCGUGCUUAACACAUGCAAGUCGAGCGGUAAGGCCCUUUCGGGGGUACACGAGCGGCGAACGGGUGAGUAACACGUGGGUGACCUGCCCUUAGCUCUGGGAUAAGCCUGGGAAACUGGGUCUAAUACCGGAUAUGACUCCAUGACGCAUGUUGUGGGGUGGAAAGCCUUGUGCGGCUAGGGAUGGGCCCGCGGCCUAUCAGCUUGUUGGUGGGGUGAUGGCCCACCAAGGCGACGACGGGUAGCCGGCCUGAGAGGGCGACCGGCCACACUGGGACUGAGACACGGCCCAGACUCCUACGGGAGGCAGCAGUGGGAAUCUUGCGCAAUGGGCGAAAGCCUGACGCAGCGACGCCGCGUGAGGGAUGACGGCC
rnacentral:rRNA from 1 species